AGCGAUAUAGUGUAAUGGUGUGCACGACAGUUUCAUGGCCUGUUAGAUUGGGUUCGAUUCCUUUACUCGCUA
rfam:Trametes pubescens strain FBCC735 TRAPTBscaffold_1672, whole genome shotgun sequence.